CCGGACCUGACUGCUAUCGGAUUGGUACUAAGCCAUGCGAGUCAUUGUAGCAAUACAAGGCGGACGGCUCAGUAACACGUAGUCAACCUAACCUAUGGACGUGGAUAACCUCGGGAAACUGAGAAUAAACCGCGAUAGAUCAUUAUGCCUGGAAUGGCUUAUGGUUCAAACAAUUUAUUGCCGUAGGAUGGGACUGCGGCCUAUCAGCUUGUUGGUGAGAUAAUGGCCCACCAAGGCUAUAACAGGUACGGGCUCUGAGAGGAGAAGCCCGGAGAUGGGUACUGAGACACGGACCCAGGCCCUAUGGGGCGCAGCAGGCGAGAAACCUUAGCAAUGUGCGAAAGCACGACUAGGUUAAUCCGAGUGAUUCCUGUUGAAGGAAUCUUUUGUCAGUCGUAAAACCACAGACGAAUAAGGGGUGGGCAAGUCUGGUGUCAGCCGCCGCGGUAAUACCAGCACCUCGAGUGGUCAGGAGGUUUAUUGGGCCUAAAGCAUCCGUAGCCGGCUUUGCAAGUCUCCGGUUAAAUCCAGCUGCUCAACAGAUGGGCUGCCGGAGAUACUACACAGCUAGGGAGCGGGAGAGGCAGACGGUAUUCUGUGGGUAGGGGUAAAAUCCAUUGAUCCAUAGAGGACCACCAGUGGCGAAGGCGGUCUGCCAGAACGCGUUCGACGGUGAGGGAUGAAAGCUGGGGGAGCAAACCGGAUUAGAUACCCGGGUAGUCCCAGCUGUAAACGAUGCAAACUCGGUGAUGCAUUGGCUUAUGGCCAAUGCAGUGCCGCAGGAAGCCGUUAAGUUUGCCGCCUGGGAAGUACGGACGCAAGUCUGAACUUAAAGGAAUUGGCGAGGGAGCA
rnacentral:rRNA from 1 species